AUACGUAGGGGGCGAGCGUUGUCCGGAAUGAUUGGGCGUAAAGGGCGCGUAGGCGGCCCGGUAAGUCUGGAGUGAAAGUCCUGUUUUUAAGAUGGGAAUUGCUUUGGAUACUGUCGGGCUUGAGUGCAGGAGAGGUAAGUGGAAUUCCCAGUGUAGCGGUGAAAUGCGUAGAGAUUGGGAGGAACACCAGUGGCGAGGGCGACUUACUGGACUGUAACUGACGCUGAGGCGCGAAAGCCAGGGUAGCGAACGGGAUUAGAUCCCCCGGUAGUCCUGGCCGUAAACGAUGGGUACUAGGUGUGGGAGGUAUCGACUCCUUCCGUGCCGGAGUUAACGCAAUAAGUACCCCGCCUGGGGAGUACGGCCGCAAGGCUUAAACUCAAAUGAAUUGACGGGG
rnacentral:rRNA from 1 species